CUUGACCGAACCGAGCCACAGCGGCCGGUCGGCGGGGCGGCCGCGCCCGUACGUCCCGAGCAGGGCCUGGACCUC
rnacentral:antisense_RNA from 1 species